rnacentral:rRNA from 1 species
GAAAGCUGGUACCUCCGGUAUCCGCGUUGUAACCUCGAGACACGUUUUCCGUGCGGCGCUAUGGACAAGUUCCUUGGAACAGGACAUCGUAGAGGGUGAAAAUCCCGUACUUGCCAUGGAUGUACCGUGCUUUGCGAUACGUGCUCUAAGAGUCGAGUUGUUUGGGAUUGCAGCUCAAAAUGGGUGGUAGACUCCAUCUAAAGCUAAAUAUCGGGGAGAGACCGAUAGCGAACAAGUACCGUGAGGGAAAGAUGAAAAGCACUUUGGAAAGAGAGUUAAAAGUACGUGAAAUUGUCGAAAGGGAAGCGCUUGAAGUCAGCCAUGCCGCUCAGGACUCAGCCUGGCUUUUGCUUGGUGUAUUUCCUGGUAGCAAGUCAGCAUUGGUUUGGAUCGUCGGAGAAGCAUAGUCGGAAUGUGGCGCCCUCGGGCGUGUUAUAGCCUUCUAUUGGAUACGACGAUCUAGACCAAGGAACGCAGCGCGCCU